rnacentral:rRNA from 1 species
GACGAACGCUGGCGGCGUUCUUAACACAUGCAAGUCGAACGAAGUGGCGAAAGGGUGAGUAACGCGUAAUCAACCUGCCCAUCAGCGGGGGACAACAGUUGGAAAAGACUGCUAAUACCGCAUACUGAAGGUGGGGAUUGCGGCUGCUUAGCUAGUUGGAGGGGUAACGGCCCACCAAGGCGAUGAUCAGUAGCCGGUCUGAGAGGAUGAUCAGUCACACUGGAACUGAGACACGGUCCAGACUCCUACGGGAGGCAGCAGUGGGGAAUAUUGGACAAUGGGCGAAAGCCUGAUCCAGCCAUGCCGCGUGUGUGAAGAAGGUCUUCGGAUUGUAAAGCACUUUAAGUUGGGAGGCGUUACCAACAGAAUAAGCACCGGCUAACUUCGUGCCAGCAGCCGCGGUAAUAC